GAUCAUUCAUUUGGAUAAACACUAAACAUAGCCAGGGAUAAAAUGUAAACUUCUAUAAGUACACAUUCAAAAGAUGCCAUUUUCGCAUGGCUUAUAUACAUUAACCAAAAUAUCCUCUCACUACUAGUCUAUUCUAUACAUGCCAUAAGAUAAUCCAAAACGUAGCAGUACCAAACAGCUGAUGGUGAUAGUGUGACUAGUUGCUGAUGAUCCCCGAGCCUGUAGCUUCCAAAUGAGAUCUAUAAAACAGAGGAAACAAAGUACACGGAGUAAGCAUUAUAAUGCUUAGUAAGUUUUAAGCAGUGUCAACAGAUAACAAUCAAAUUAUAACAUAGUUGUUCGUAUUUUUAUUUCACUCUUCCUUCGGGCAUACCAUCCCUUUACCGAAUAUGCACAUCUCCUCAUAUAUAGUAGGCAGAUAAAUUCUCACUUGAUAGUGACCUCUUAUGAUCAUAGGUACAUUACAUAUUUUUUUCCUGACUUUCCACAUUGACCAAAUGCACAAUAAUCAUAGAACAGUCUUAUUGCUUUACUCACAUGUGCAUCACAUAACGACCUUGUGAUUUAGUCUAAAUCAAACUUAAAUAUAAUCUCAAAAUACAUACCUGAUCAACUUAACGCAUUGAACGUAUUUAUUACCAAUUAUUACUGUGAAGUUGUAUAAUCUUACGCUUUACUUGAAUCUUCAGCAAAACCUUUAGUUCGGGGCUUACCUGGACAAAAUCUCCACACGUAGUCAUCGGGUCUUUAGAGCUCGGAUAUAGUACGAGCACGAAGCCUACGGACAUUAAUCAGUGAUAAUAUUCUCGCAUAAAGCCUGCGGGGUUUUAACCCGGAUAUAGUACUGACACAAAUGCCCUUCGGGACUUAUCACAUUUAUACACUUUCACAUCCAUCACGUUGGCCACUCGGCCCUAUCACAUAUAUACACUUUCACAUUCAUCACAUUGGCCAUUCGGCCUUAUCACAUAUAUACACUUUCACAUUCAUCACAUCGGCCAUUAGGCCUUAUCACAUAUAUACACUUUCACAUUCAUCACAUUGGCCAUUCGGCCUUAUCACAUAUAUACACUUUCACAUUCAUCACAUCGGCCAUUAGGCCUUAUCACAUAUAUACACUUUCACAUUCAUCACAUCGGCUAUUAGGCCUUAUCACAUAUAUACACUUUCACAUUCAUCACAUCGGCCAUUAGGCCUUAUCACAUAUAUAUACACUUUCACAUUCAUCACAUCGGCCAUUAGGCCUUAUCACAUAUAUAUACACUUUCACAUUCAUCACAUCGGCCAUUAGGCCUUAUCACAUAUAUAUACACUUUCACAUUUAUUCAAAUAUACUUCACAUACCACAUAUACUAUCAUGUACAGACUUGGUCUUGGCCGAAUCUACAUCCAUCACUUUCCAAUGAAUAACUCAGUUUUACGCCAUACUAUCAUUUCAUAUUUGAAUACUCAUAAACUUACAAUAUCACGAUUUAUAAUUCAAGUAUGGGUUUAAUCAAUAGCUUAUGAGCAACUAAAACAAGUUUUAUCCAUGUUUACAACAAAAUCACAUAUUCACUACGAGCUGUUUUCCUGAGAAAUGGUCACUAAAUUAUUUAUAAUCGGAGCUAAAAGACUCCAAAUCACUUGCCGUUAAUAUUCCCUGAAUAUAGACUCAUAUAUCUUUCAUCCAUAAAUUUUUCAGAAUUUUAGGUUUGGCCAAUCAAUACCAUAUUUUUCUUAAAGUUUCCCCUGUUUCACUGUUUGACUAAUCUGACCAGUCUUCACUAUGAAUCAAAAUUCUCAUUGUACAGAAUUCAAAGUAUGUUCUAUUUGAUUUCAUUUGAAACUAGACUCAUUAAGGAGUCUAAGCAUAUAAAUUUUAUCUUGUAACCAUUUUUGUACAAAUUAUAGUGAUUUUCUUAAAACAGAACAGGGGAUUUCGGAGUCAUUCUGACACCGUCUCACACAACUUUAAAUAUCUCUUUAUAGGAAAUUCCUUUGCUUACACGGUUUCUUUUAUAAGAAACUAGACAAAUUAAGAUUUAAUUUCAUGUCUCAUUCAGCCUCUAAUUCAAGUCCAUAAAUUUAUGGUGAUUUUCUAAAGUCACAUUACUGCUGCUGUCCUAAGCAGACUAUUUCAAAUUACCCUUAAAUUCCCAAGCUCAAACACUUAAAAACUUACCAUUUGAGCUUAGAACAUAUCAUGGCCACAUCAUAUCUUAUUAAAUCAACUCAUCAUGUCCUAUUAUAAUUGAAUUUACUCAACGUUUAAUCACUUAAAACUUACCUCGGAAGUGGUCGAUGACUAGAUAUCCACGGCUAUUCGUUUACGUUCUCUUUAUCCAAAAUUGCCCCUCUAUGCUCUUGAGUUUAACUAACAAAAUUUAAACUAUUUUAAUCACCUUGUUAUAUCAUUAAAAACAACAAGGUAAAUCUUCUCAAUGAAACUCAUACAUAAGGCAACACCUCGAUACAUCUGCACACAUUCGAUAUUUCAUAAAAACCAUCCCAAAUACAUUUACCUAGGUAUCACCAUGUCGCCUUAUAUACAUAUACUAGUUAUGUGGUCAAUUUUACCGAUGACCUAUGCAUAUAACUAAUUACACCUUUAAUAAUAUUCACAAAGCCGAUUAUCCACAUGACUACCUUAGCAUAUUAUUAGUUAGCUUCUUAUCCAAUUUUGCCAUAAAGAAAAUUAACUCAUAUACCCUCAAGUGCAUAAGCAAUUGCAUCCAAAGGACACUUUAAAUGCAUGUUAUGAAAGUAACCGAAUGCACAUAUAUUUAUACCAAGACAUCAUAUACUUCAAAACCAACUAUCAAGGCAUAAAGCCGAACCUUCAAAAUCAAUUAUCAAUACACGUUCAAACAUGCCCUCCUACAAUUAUACAAGUUCUCCCUUGGUUAAACUAAAUCAUGCUUUAAGGUUUAACACAUUUAACCAUUAGAGAGUUAAUCAAAUUAGCAUUCAAUUAUUCUAUACACCCACCAUUAACCGAAUCUCAUUUAAUCAAAUUUAUUUCUUGACAAUUUCAUCACAUUCGAUCAUUGGUAAUUUAAUCCUAUAAAAAGUCAAAUUUUACUUCAAUUCACUAAGGUGAGGUUAUUAUAAUUUAACCUCUAUUUUUGAAUGCCCCCUUCUCCAUAAAACCAUCAAAAUUUCAAAUUAUAAUAGGUUCAUAACUCAUUUAACCACUAAUUCCAUGCCAAGCAUAAAAAGGCCAUGGGUUUUACACCUAACUUACAAGACCAUAAAACAUAAAGGUUUAAUGUUCAUCUUUAACACAAUUACCACACUUCAAACUAAAUUUUCAGCUUCAUAUAUCCCACACCAGAUUUUUUUUUCCAUGCUCAAUUUCCACGGCCGAAUGAAAUUAUGCCCUAAUUCAUGAACUUAAACAACAUUGGCCAACUUUCCAAGCUCAUUUGAGCCAUCAAGCACAUUUAGUUUGUUCAUACUCAACUAGAAUCAAUUAUCCUCCCAAAAUCAUCAAACAUACAAAAUAUAUCCCAUUAAGCUCAUGACCAAUUGCUACAUGCUUCAUGAACACAAAAAUUUUCACAUGGGUCUUGUUGCAAGCUUCAAAACCAACCAAAAUUCACAACUUUUCAAAGAAAAUAACAUGAACCUUACCUUAUUUGAAGUCUUCUUUUGCCGAAUGCCCUAAGCUCAAAGGUUUCUAUUUUGUUUCUCA
rnacentral:lncRNA from 1 species